rnacentral:rRNA from 1 species
AUGAACGCUAGCUACAGGCUUAACACAUGCAAGUCGAGGGGCAGCAUGGUCUUAGCUUGCUAAGGCCGAUGGCGACCGGCGCACGGGUGAGUAACACGUAUCCAACCUGCCGUCUACUCUUGGACAGCCUUCUGAAAGGAAGAUUAAUACAAGAUGGCAUCAUGAGUCCGCAUGUUCACAUGAUUAAAGGUAUUCCGGUAGACGAUGGGGAUGCGUUCCAUUAGAUAGUAGGCGGGGUAACGGCCCACCUAGUCUUCGAUGGAUAGGGGUUCUGAGAGGAAGGUCCCCCACAUUGGAACUGAGACACGGUCCAAACUCCUACGGGAGGCAGCAGUGAGGAAUAUUGGUCAAUGGGCGAGAGCCUGAACCAGCCAAGUAGCGUGAAGGAUGACUGCCCUAUGGGUUGUAAACUUCUUUUAUAAAGGAAUAAAGUCGGGUAUGCAUACCCGUUUGCAUGUACUUUAUGAAUAAGGAUCGGCUAACUCCGUGCCAGCAGCCGCGGUAAUACGGAGGAUCCGAGCGUUAUCCGGAUUUAUUGGGUUUAAAGGGAGCGUAGAUGGAUGUUUAAGUCAGUUGUGAAAGUUUGCGGCUCAACCGUAAAAUUGCAGUUGAUACUGGAUAUCUUGAGUGCAGUUGAGGCAGGCGGAAUUCGUGGUGUAGCGGUGAAAUGCUUAGAUAUCACGAAGAACUCCGAUUGCGAAGGCAGCCUGCUAAGCUGCAACUGACAUUGAGGCUCGAAAGUGUGGGUAUCAAACAGGAUUAGAUACCCUGGUAGUCCACACGGUAAACGAUGAAUACUCGCUGUUUGCGAUAUACGGCAAGCGGCCAAGCGAAAGCGUUAAGUAUUCCACCUGGGGAGUACGCCGGCAACGGUGAAACUCAAAGGAAUUGACGGGGGCCCGCACAAGCGGAGGAACAUGUGGUUUAAUUCGAUGAUACGCGAGGAACCUUACCCGGGCUUAAAUUGCAGAUGAAUUACGGUGAAAGCCGUAAGCCGCAAGGCAUCUGUGAAGGUGCUGCAUGGUUGUCGUCAGCUCGUGCCGUGAGGUGUCGGCUUAAGUGCCAUAACGAGCGCAACCCUUAUCUUUAGUUACUAACAGGUCAUGCUGAGGACUCUAGAGAGACUGCCGUCGUAAGAUGUGAGGAAGGUGGGGAUGACGUCAAAUCAGCACGGCCCUUACGUCCGGGGCUACACACGUGUUACAAUGGGGGGUACAGAGGGCCGCUACCACGCGAGUGGAUGCCAAUCCCAAAAACCUCUCUCAGUUCGGACUGGAGUCUGCAACCCGACUCCACGAAGCUGGAUUCGCUAGUAAUCGCGCAUCAGCCACGGCGCGGUGAAUACGUUCCCGGGCCUUGUACACACCGCCCGUCAAGCCAUGGGAGCCGGGGGUACCUGAAGUGCGUAACCGCGAGGAGCGCCCUAGGGUAAAACUGGUGACUGGGGCU